rnacentral:rRNA from 1 species
GACGAACGCUGGCGGCGUGCUUAACACAUGCAAGUCGAACGGAAAGGCCCUGCUUUUGUGGGGUGCUCGAGUGGCGAACGGGUGAGUAACACGUGAGUAACCUGCCCUUGACUUUGGGAUAACUUCAGGAAACUGGGGCUAAUACCGGAUAGGAGCUCCUGCUGCAGGGUGGGGGUUGGAAAGUUUCGGCGGUUGGGGAUGGACUCGCGGCUUAUCAGCUUGUUGGUGGGGUAGUGGCUUACCAAGGCUUUGACGGGUAGCCGGCCUGAGAGGGUGACCGGCCACAUUGGGACUGAGAUACGACCCAGACUCCUACGGGAGGCAGCAGUGGGGAAUAUUGCACAAUGGGCGGAAGCCUGAUGCAGCAACGCCGCGUGCGGGAUGACGGCCUUCGGGUUGUAAACCGCUUUCGCCUGUGACGAAGCGUGAGUGACGGUAAUGGGUAAAGAAGCACCGGCUAACUACGUG